GACGAACGCUGGCGGCGUGCUUAACACAUGCAAGUCGAACGGAAAGGCCCCCAUCUUGGUGGGGGUGCUCGAGUGGCGAACGGGUGAGUAACACGUGGGUGAUCUGCCCUGUACUUCGGGAUAAGCUUGGGAAACUGGGUCUAAUACCGGAUAGGACCAUGGUUUAGUGUCUCAUGGUGGAAAGAUUAUUGUUUUGGUGCAGGAUGAGCUCGCGGCCUAUCAGCUUGUUGGUGGGGUAAUGGCCUACCAAGGCGUCGACGGGUAGCCGGCCUGAGAGGGUGGACGGCCACAUUGGGACUGAGAUACGGCCCAGACUCCUACGGGAGGCAGCAGUGGGGAAUAUUGCACAAUGGGCGCAAGCCUGAUGCAGCGACGCCGCGUGGGGGAUGACGGCCUUCGGGUUGUAAACUCCUUUCGUUAGGGACGAAGCCGCACUUUUUUUGGGUGUGGUGACGGUACCUUUGUUAAGAAGUACCGGCUAACUACGUG
rnacentral:rRNA from 1 species